AGAGAAGCAAGACCGNGAGGUGGAGCAAAACUCAAAAACUUAGUCUCAGUUCGGAUUGUAGGCUGAAACUCGCCUACAUGAAGCUGGAGUUGCUAGUAAUCGCGAAUCAGCAUGUCGCGGUGAAUACGUUCCCGGGCCUUGUACACACCGCCCGUCACACCAUGAGAGUUGGCAAUACCCAACGUACGUGAUCUAACCCGCAAGGGAGGAAGCGUCCUAAGGUAGGGUCAGCGAUUGGGGUGAAGUCGUAACAAGGUAUC
rnacentral:rRNA from 1 species